UUUAAACGGAAAACAGCCAUUAGUAGACUUGAGAUUUUUCACACAGAACAAUGCUAUCUGUGUUGUUGUGUGUUCGAAAGCAUUAAUGAGUUUUGGUUUAAAGCUUUUACACAAUACAAUUGAUACUUAGAAUCCAUAUUUCAAAAUGUGUAACGGUUUUCACAUAUUUGCGAAAACGAGAUAUCAAAAUGUCUACAAAUAUGAACUCGUAAAGUAAUUCAAGGUAAGCCGUGAUGUAGUCUAGCCAUCUAGUGCAAGAAAAGAAUUGAAAUGAAAAUAAAAAGAAUUGAAAUAAAAAAA